GAUGAACGCUGGCGGCGUGCCUAAUACAUGCAAGUCGAGCGAACGGAUAAGGAGCUUGCUCCUUUGAAGUUAGCGGCGGACGGGUGAGUAACACGUGGGUAACCUUCCUAUAAGACUGGAAUAACUUCGGGAAACCGGAGCUAAUGCCGGAUAACAUUUGGAACUGCAUGGUUCUAAAGUAAAAGAUGGUUUUGCUAUCACUUAUAGAUGGACCCGCGCCGUAUUAGCUAGUUGGUAAGGUAACGGCUUACCAAGGCAACGAUACGUAGCCGAACUGAGAGGGUGAUCGGCCACACUGGAACUGAGACACGGUCCAGACUCCUACGGGAGGCAGCAGUAGGGAAUCUUCCGCAAUGGACGAAAGUCUGACGGAGCAACGCCGCGUGAGUGAUGAAGGUUUUCGGAUCGUAAAACUCUGUUAUCAGGGAAGAACAAAUGUGUAAGUAACUGUGCACAUCUUGACGGUACCUAAUCAGAAAGCCACGGCUAACUACGUGCCAGCCGCCGCGGUAA
rnacentral:rRNA from 1 species